AAAUUGAAGAGUUUGAUCAUGGCUCAGAUUGAACGCUGGCGGCAGGCCUAACACAUGCAAGUCGAGCGGAAACGACACUAACAAUCCUUCGGGUGCGUUAAUGGGCGUCGAGCGGCGGACGGGUGAGUAAUGCCUAGGAAAUUGCCUUGAUGUGGGGGAUAACCAUUGGAAACGAUGGCUAAUACCGCAUAAU
rnacentral:rRNA from 1 species